CGGAAAUCGGUCGCAGAGUAUAAAGGCAAAAGCGCGCUUGACUGCGAGACAGACACGUCGAGCAGGUACGAAAGUAGGUCUUAGUGAUCCGGUGGUUCUGUAUGGAAGGGCCAUCGCUCAACGGAUAAAAGGUACUCCGGGGAUAACAGGCUGAUACCGCCCAAGAGUUCAUAUCGACGGCGGUGUUUGGCACCUCGAUGUCGGCUCAUCACAUCCUGGGGCUGAAGCCGGUCCCAAGGGUAUGGCUGUUCGCCAUUUAAAGUGGUACGCGAGCUGGGUUUAGAACGUCGUGAGACAGUUCGGUCCCUAUCUGCCGUGGACGUUUGAGAUUUGAGAGGGGCUGCUCCUAGUACGAGAGGACCGGAGUGGACGAACCUCUGGUGUUCCGGUUGUCACGCCAGUGGCAUUGCCGGGUAGCUAUGUUCGGAAAAGAUAACCGCUGAAAGCAUCUAAGCGGGAAACUUGCCUCAAGAUGAGAUCUCACUGGGAACUUGAUUCCCCUGAAGGGCCGUCGAAGACUACGACGUUGAUAGGCUGGGUGUGUAAGCGUUGUGAGGCGUUGAGCUAACCAGUACUAAUUGCCCGUGAGGCUUGACCAU
rnacentral:rRNA from 1 species